UACGAAGGGGGCUAGCGUUGUUCGGAAUCACUGGGCGUAAAGAGUACGUAGGCGGAUUAUUAAGUCAGGGGUGAAAUCCCGAGGCUCAACCUCGGAACUGCCUUUGAUACUGGUAGUCUUGAGUCCGGGAGAGGUGAGUGGAACUCCUAGUGUAGAGGUGAAAUUCGUAGAUAUUAGGAAGAACACCAGUGGCGAAGGCGGCUCACUGGCCCGGAACUGACGCUGAGGUACGAAAGCGUGGGGAGCAAACAGG
rnacentral:rRNA from 1 species